UUCACAAGCCUGGAGACUGAUGUCCCUUGCUUAUGCUCAGAAAAGGCAUAGCAUUGGCAGUACUGCAAAUAUCUAGUACUUUAUCACUUCUGAUCUGGAGAAACCACCUCCAGGCAGAAUGAUAAAUGCUGUGAUCACUGUGGCCACUCACUGGCUGCC
rnacentral:sRNA from 1 species